rnacentral:rRNA from 1 species
GUUUGAUCCUGGCUCAGAUUGAACGCUGGCGGCAGGCCUAACACAUGCAAGUCGAGCGGUAGCACAGAGAGCUUGCUCUCGGGUGACGAGCGGCGGACGGGUGAGUAAUGUCUGGGAAACUGCCUGAUGGAGGGGGAUAACUACUGGAAACGGUAGCUAAUACCGCAUAACGUCGCAAGACCAAAGUGGGGGACCUUCGGGCCUCAUGCCAUCAGAUGUGCCCAGAUGGGAUUAGCUAGUAGGUGGGGUAAUGGCUCACCUAGGCGACGAUCCCUAGCUGGUCUGAGAGGAUGACCAGCCACACUGGAACUGAGACACGGUCCAGACUCCUACGGGAGGCAGCAGUGGGGAAUAUUGCACAAUGGGCGCAAGCCUGAUGCAGCCAUGCCGCGUGUAUGAAGAAGGCCUUCGGGUUGUAAAGUACUUUCAGCGAGGAGGAAGGCAUUAAGGUUAAUAACCUUGGUGAUUGACGUUACUCGCAGAAGAAGCACCGGCUAACUCCGUGCCAGCAGCCGCGGUAAUACGGNGGGUGCAAGCGUUAAUCGGAAUUACUGGGCGUAAAGCGCACGCAGGCGGUCUGUCAAGUCGGAUGUGAAAUCCCCGGGCUCAACCUGGGAACUGCAUUCGAAACUGGCAGGCUAGAGUCUUGUAGAGGGGGGUAGAAUUCCAGGUGUAGCGGUGAAAUGCGUAGAGAUCUGGAGGAAUACCGGUGGCGAAGGCGGCCCCCUGGACAAAGACUGACGCUCAGGUGCGAAAGCGUGGGGAGCAAACAGGAUUAGAUACCCUGGUAGUCCACGCCGUAAACGAUGUCGACUUGGAGGUUGUGCCCUUGAGGCGUGGCUUCCGGAGCUAACGCGUUAAGUCGACCGCCUGGGGAGUACGGCCGCAAGGUUAAAACUCAAAUGAAUUGACGGGGGCCCGCACAAGCGGUGGAGCAUGUGGUUUAAUUCGAUGCAACGCGAAGAACCUUACCUACUCUUGACAUCCAGAGAACUUAGCAGAGAUGCUUUGGUGCCUUCGGGAACUCUGAGACAGGUGCUGCAUGGCUGUCGUCAGCUCGUGUUGUGAAAUGUUGGGUUAAGUCCCNCAACGAGCNCANCCCUUAUCCUUUGUUNCCAGCGNUCCGGCCGGGAACUCAAAGGAGACUNCNNGUGAUAAACUGGAGGAAGGUGGGGAUGACGUCAAGUCAUCAUGGCCCUUACGAGUAGGGCUACACACGUGCUACAAUGGCAUAUACAAAGAGAAGCGACCUCGCGAGAGCAAGCGGACCUCAUAAAGUAUGUCGUAGUCCGGAUUGGAGUCUGCAACUCGACUCCAUGAAGUCGGAAUCGCUAGUAAUCGUAGAUCAGAAUGCUACGGUGAAUACGUUCCCGGGCCUUGUACACACCGCCCGUCACACCAUGGGAGUGGGUUGCAAAAGAAGUAGGUAGNUUAACCUUCGGGAGGGCGCUUACCACUUUGUGAUUCAUGACUGGGGUGAAGUCGUAACAAGGUAACCGU